AAGCUAAGGAAAUACAACUUUCAAGGGAACAAGAGACAGAGUCUCACUCUGCCGCCCAGGCUGGAGUGCAGUGGUGUGAUCUGGGCUCACUGCAACCUCUGCCUCCUGGGUUCAAGCGAUUCUCCUGCUUCAGCCUCCUGAGUAGCUGGGAUUACAGUGCGUCACCAUGCCCGGCUAAUUUUUGUAUUUUUAGUGGAGAUGGGGUUUCUCCAUGUUGACCAGGCUAGUCUCAAACUCCUGACUUCAGGUGAUUCACCCGCCUCAGCCUCCCAAAGUGCUGGGAUUACAGGCACGAACCAUCAUGCCCCGCCAUCAGUUCAAUUAAAUCUAUAUAUCACAUUCUUCCUAUCCUUUUUUAUUAUACAUGUCAUGAUAUGGGAUGUUGGUGGUAAAUGUAACGUGGAGGAACAAGACAUAUGUAGGUACACUCCUUGACUGCACACGACAUGAUUGGGCACCCCCAAGGUUCUGUGACUCCCCGACCAGUGACCUGGAAAUGCGCAAUGGCCGGGGUAGAGGCAAACGCAUGCGUCCCAACAGUAAUACACCUGUCAAUGAGACAGCCACAGCCUCUGACAGCAAAGGGACCAGUAGCAGCAGCAAAACCCGGGCAGGAGCCAAUAGCAAAGGCCGUCGGGGCAGCCAGAAUUCUUCAGAGCAUCGCCCACCUGCCAGCAGCACUUCUGAGGAUGUCAAGGCCAGCCCUUCCUCAGCUAAUAAGCGGAAAAACAAACCCCUUUCAGACAUGGAGCUGAAUUCUAGCUCAGAGGACUCCAAAGGGAGCAAGCGUGUCCGUACUAAUUCCAUGGGCUCAGCCACUGGCCCCCUUCCUGGGACAAAGGUAGAACCCACUGUUCUGGACAGAAACUGUCCCUCCCCCGUCCUGAUUGACUGUCCCCACCCAAACUGCAACAAGAAGUACAAGCACAUCAAUGGACUUAAGUACCACCAAGCUCAUGCCCAUACAGAUGAUGACAGCAAGCCGGAAGCGGAUGGGGACAGUGAGUACGGAGAGGAACCUAUUCUCCAUGCAGAUCUUGGGAGCUGCAACGGUGCAUCUGUCUCACAAAAAGGUUCCUUGUCCCCUGCCCGCUCAGCUACCCCCAAAGUUCGACUUGUAGAGCCCCAUAGCCCUUCUCCUUCAAGCAAAUUCAGCACAAAAGGCCUCUGUAAGAAAAAGUUGAGUGGGGAAGGGGACACAGACCUUGGGGCCUUAUCCAAUGAUGGCUCUGAUGAUGGACCCUCAGUGAUGGAUGAAACAAGCAAUGAUGCCUUUGAUUCUUUAGAAAGGAAGUGUAUGGAAAAAGAAAAAUGUAAAAAA
rnacentral:sRNA from 1 species